ensembl:ncRNA C03F11.5 ncRNA
UUUUUGGAAGAGUAAGGCAUAAAAAUAAAAAUAAAGCGGAAUGAACAGACGCCUUCUGUUUCUAUGUUCAUACUGAAUUUCUAUACUGGUUUAAGCACCCACUUUUCUACUUUUUAUGAGUUGAUUCUGGAUGAAGAGUGACGCGGACACAAAAACUGGAGCACACAUGCACUUUUCCAUGCAGCCUUCGUUUUCCCGCCAAACGUUUCCCA